GACGAACGCUGGCGGCGUGCUUAACACAUGCAAGUCGAACGGAAAGGCCCUGCUUUUGUGGGGUGCUCGAGUGGCGAACGGGUGAGUAACACGUGAGUAACCUGCCCUUGACUUUGGGAUAACUUCAGGAAACUGGGGCUAAUACCGGAUAGGAGCUCCUGCUGCAUGGUGGGGGUUGGAAAGUUUCGGCGGUUGGGGAUGGACUCGCGGCUUAUCAGCUUGUUGGUGGGGUAGUGGCUUACCAAGGCUUUGACGGGUAGCCGGCCUGGGAGGGUGACCGGCCACAUUGGGACUGAGAUACGGCGCAGAAUGCAACGGGAGGCAGCAGUGGGGAAUAUGGCACAAUGGGCGGAAGCCUGAUGCGACAGCGCCGCGUGCGGGAUGACGGCCUUCGGGUUGUAAACCGCUUUCGCCUGUGACGAAGCGUGAGUGACGGUAAUGGGUAAAGAAGCACCGGCUAACUACGUG
rnacentral:rRNA from 1 species